UACGUAGGGUGCGAGCGUUGUCCGGAAUUAUUGGGCGUAAAGAGCUCGUAGGCGGUUUGUCGCGUCGACUGUGAAAACCCGAGGCUUAACCUCGGGCCUGCAGUCGAUACGGGCAGACUAGAGUUCGGUAGGGGAGACUGGAAUUCCUGGUGUAGCGGUGAAAUGCGCAGAUAUCAGGAGGAACACCGGUGGCGAAGGCGGGUCUCUGGGCCGAUACUGACGCUGAGGAGCGAAAGCGUGGGUAGCGAACAGG
rnacentral:rRNA from 1 species